rnacentral:tRNA from 1 species
GGCUGUGGCUCAGUGGUAGAGCCACAACCCUAGCAUGGGUGAGGCACUGGGUUCGAUUCUCAGCACCA